GGGGGAUUGGCUCAGAUGGUAGAGCGCCCGCUUAGCAUGCGGGAGGUCCAGAGAUCGAUACUCUGAUCCUCCA